rnacentral:rRNA from 1 species
GACGUAGGGCGCGAGCGUUGUCCGGAAUUACUGGGCGUAAAGCGCGCGCAGGCGGCUAUCCAAGUCAGUGGUGAAAGCCCGGAGCUCAACUCCGGAACUGCCAUUGAAACUGUUUAGCUUGAGGACGAGAGAGGUGAGUGGAAUUCCCAGUGUAGAGGUGAAAUUCGUAGAUAUUGGGAAGAACACCGGUGGCGAAGGCGGCUCACUGGCUCGUAUCUGACGCUCAGGCGCGACAGCGUGGGGAUCAAACAGG